rnacentral:rRNA from 1 species
CACCUGUUCCCAUUCCGAACACAGAAGUUAAGCUUCGUAACGCCGAGAGUAGUUAGAGGAACGCCUCUUGCGAGGGUAGGAAAUCGCCGUGC